rnacentral:rRNA from 1 species
AUGGCCCAUCAGCUAGUUGGUAGGGUAAAGGCCUACCAAGGCUACGACGGGUCGCUGGUCUGAGAGGACGACCAGCCACACUGGCACUGAGAUACGGGCCAGACUCCUACGGGAGGCAGCAGUGAGGAAUAUUGCGCAAUGGGGGAAACCCUGACGCAGCAACGCCGCGUGUGGGAAGAAGGCCUUCGGGUCGUAAACCACUUUUGCACGGGACGAAAAAGGGAUAUCGAACAAAUAUCCCCGAUGACGGUACCGUGAGAAUAAGCCACGGCUAACUCUGUGCCAGCAGCCGCGGUAAGACAGAGGUGGCAAGCGUUGUUCGGAAUUACUGGGCGUAAAGAGUCUGUAGGUGGUUUGUCAAGUCUUUGGUGAAAGGCCGUAGCUUAACUAUGGGAAUGCCAAAGAGACUGGCAGGCUGGAGGCUGGGAGAGGGAAGCGGAAUUUCUGGUGUAGCGGUGAAAUGCGUAGAUAUCAGAAGGAAGGCCGGUGGCGAAGGCGGCUUC